rnacentral:rRNA from 1 species
CACCGCGGUUAUACGAGAGGCCCAAGUUGAUGACAACCGGCGUAAAGAGUGGUUAAGAUUAGUCUUCCAUUAAAGUCGAAUAUCUUCAAGGCUGUUAUACGCACCCGAAGACUAGAAGCCCAACUACGAAAGUGACUUUAUUUUAUCUGACCCCACAAAAGCUAGGGCA